rnacentral:rRNA from 1 species
AUUGAACGCUGGCGGCAGGCCUAACACAUGCAAGUCGAACGAGUGGCGGACGGGUGAGUAAUGUCUGGGAAACUGCCCGAUGGAGGGGGAUAACUACUGGAAACGGUAGCUAAUACCGCAUACCAUCGGAUGUGCCCAGAUGGGAUUAGCUAGUAGGUGGGGUAAUGGCUCAACUAGGCGACGAUCCCUAGCUGGUCUGAGAAGAUGACCAGCCAGACUGGCACGGAGACACGGUCCAGAAUCCUACGUGAGGCAGCAGGGGGGAAUAUUGCACAAGGGGCGCAAGCCUGAUGCAGCCAGGCAGCGUGUAUGAAGAAGGCCUUCGGGGUGUAAAGUACUUUCAGCGAGGAGGCGUUACUCGCAGAAGAAGCACCGGCUAACUCCGUGCCAGCAGCCGCGGUAAUUC